GUCGCUGCCGGCCGCAGGCCGGGAGAGGAAAGUCCGGGCAACGCAGAGCGCCACGCAGGCUAACGACCUGACAGCCGUGAGGUUGUGGUAGCGUAACAGAAAACGACCGCCCGCAGGAGUCGGUGAAAGUUCCGGAGAUUCUCCCGAAUCGCGGAUUUUCCUGAUGGCUCCGGCGGGUAAGGGUGAAAAGGCGGGGUAAGAGCCCACCGCGGGGGCAGCAAUGUCGCCCGGCAGUACGUCCCGUGGGUUGCAAGACCGUGUAUACCGGCAAUCAAGGGUUGCUCGCCCGAUGCCGGGGGGUAGGUUGCUCGAGACGGCAGGAGACUGCCGCCCUAGAUAAAUGACAGGGACCCGGGGUUCGCCCCGGGGACAGAACCCGGCUUACAGGA
rnacentral:RNase_P_RNA from 1 species